AGAGUUUGAUCCUGGCUCAGGAUGAACGCUGGCGGCGUGCUUAACACAUGCAAGUCGAACGAUGAACCUCACUUGUGGGGGGAUUAGUGGCGAACGGGUGAGUAACACGUGAGUAACCUGCCCUUAACUCUGGGAUAAGCCUGGGAAACUGGGUCUAAUACCGGAUAUGACUGACCGUCGCAUGGUGGUUGGUGGAAAGCUUUUUGUGGUUUUGGAUGGACUCGCGGCCUAUCAGCUUGUUGGUGAGGUAAUGGCUCACCAAGGCGACGACGGGUAGCCGGCCUGAGAGGGUGACCGGCCACACUGGGACUGAGACACGGCCCAGACUCCUACGGGAGGCAGCAGUGGGGAAUAUUGCACAAUGGGCGCAAGCCUGAUGCAGCGACGCCGCGUGAGGGAUGACGGCCUUCGGGUUGUAAACCUCUUUCAGUAGGGAAGAAGCGAAAGUGACGGUACCUGCAGAAGAAGCGCCGGCUAACUACGUGCCAGCAGCCGCGGUAAUACGUAGGGCGCAAGCGUUAUCCGGAAUUAUUGGGCGUAAAGAGCUCGUAGGCGGUUUGUCGCGUCUGCCGUGAAAGUCCGGGGCUCAACUCCGGAUCUGCGGUGGGUACGGGCAGACUAGAGUGAUGUAGGGGAGACUGGAAUUCCUGGUGUAGCGGUGAAAUGCGCAGAUAUCAGGAGGAACACCGAUGGCGAAGGCAGGUCUCUGGGCAUUAACUGACGCUGAGGAGCGAAAGCAUGGGGAGCGAACAGGAUUAGAUACCCUGGUAGUCCAUGCCGUAAACGUUGGGCACUAGGUGUGGGGGACAUUCCACGUUUUCCGCGCCGUAGCUAACGCAUUAAGGCC
rnacentral:rRNA from 1 species